rnacentral:hammerhead_ribozyme from 1 species
AUCUAAAUGACGAGUCUCAAAUAGGACGAAACACACGUCCUGAAU